AGAAACUGAAUCCUAGAAAGAAAUUAAGGGACUUGUCCAAGGUCCCACAGCUAGUAAGGAACAGAGAAUCAAAGUCUUACUGCUCCCAUGCCAGCUUCUAGCUCUGUGUUGGUGUUUAAACAUUCUUAAGUCCUUUUCUUGUGUUUAUGUUGUGACACUAACUUAUAUUGCAGGAUUUGUGAACUCAAGGAUUCUGACCUAUUUCUUUUUUGGCCCCUCCUCAUUUCUCCCAAACCUUCUUCCCUUGUUCCCUACACAUAUUUUCUGAGCACUCUAUGGAAACAGAAACUGGGACCUGGCAAACUGAUAGGCUGAUUGACCUACUCAUCUAUUGCCAACCUGGGAAUGGGAACUUUCUAUUAGAGCUGCUUGCCUUCCUAAGGAAGGAUGACCAGGAUGACUUCAGAAAGAGCUGGGAAGACCUCCAUGAACUGAUGCAGAGUGAAAUAAGCAGAACAAGGAAAACAUCAUACACAGUAACAACAAUAUUGUAGAAUGAUCAACUGUGAUACAAUUAGGUACUAUGAGCAGUAUAAUGAUCCAGGACUAUUCUGAGGGACUUAUGAAAAAGAAUGACCUCCAUUUCCAGAGAAAGAACUGCUGGAGUCAGAAUGCAGAUGAAAGAAUACAGCUUUUCAAUUGUUUAUGUUUUGGGAUAUUGGUUUUAUAAGAUAAUUCACAAAAAUGAGCAAAGAAAGAAUAUUUUUUGCAUGAUAAUAUAUGUAUAAUCCAGAUCAAAUUGCCUGCCAGCACUGGGAGGGGAAAGAGAAAGGAAGGAGGGAGUUAAGUUUGAUUAUGUAACUUAGGAAAAUGUGUAUUGAAAUUUGUUUACAUGUAAUUGAUAAAUAUAUAAAACAUCAGGAGUGUAAUCAUAGAUGUUACUUGAUUAAUAAGAUGAAAAAGAAUAUUCCAGAUUCUCCCAGUUAUCAAUUUUUUACCCCCUCAAAUGACUUUGUAUUCCUUUUAUGUAAUUUUCCUUAUUUAUGAAUGUUAUUUUGCCCAAGCAGCAUAUAAAUUUGUAAAAAAAAUAUUUCAUUAAAUAUUUCCCAAUUAUAUGUAAAAGUAUUUUUAACAUUUAUUAAUUUUCCAGUCUUUCCUCCCCACUCUCCCCAAGUCUUGAGAAGUUAAACAAUUUGAUAUCAGUUAUACAUGUGAAAUCAUAGCAUUGAAGACAGGUCUAUUUGCCAAAGCGAUCAAAGAAAGAGGAGACGGCUCAAGAUGUCCAAAAAUAUUUAUAGCAGCUGUUUUUGUACUCGAAAGGAACUGGAAAUUAAGGGGGGUUCCCAACAAUUGAAGAAUGACUGAAUAAAGGAGCAUAUAUGAUAAUGGAAUACUACUGG
rnacentral:lncRNA from 1 species